rnacentral:rRNA from 1 species
GGAUCAGGUAGGAAUACCCGCUGAACUUAAGCAUAUCAAUAAGCCGGAGGA